rnacentral:rRNA from 1 species
AUUGAACGCUGGCGGCAGGCCUAACACAUGCAAGUCGAGCGAGCGGCGGACGGGUGAGUAAUGUAUGGGGACUGCCCGAUAGAGGGGGAUAACUCCUGGAAACGGUGGCUAAUACCGCAUACUAUCGGAUAACCAAUAUGGGAUUAGAUAGUAGGUGGGGUAAAGGCCCCACUAGGCGACGAUCUCUAGCUGGUCUGAGUGGAUGAUCAGUCACAGUGCGACUGAGACACGGCCCAUACUCGUACGGAGACAUCGUUGGGGAAUAGUGCACAACUGGCGCAAGCCUACUGCAGCCGUGCAGCAUGUAUGAAGAAUGCCUUCGGGUUUUAAGGGACUUUCAGCGAGGCGGCGUUACUCGCAGAAGAAGCACCGGCUAACUCCGUGCCAGCAGCCGCGGUAAUUC